rnacentral:rRNA from 1 species
AUUGAACGCUGGCGGCAUGCCUUACACAUGCAAGUCGAACGGCAGCACGGGAGCAAUCCUGGUGGCGAGUGGCGAACGGGUGAGUAAUAUAUCGGAACGUGCCCAGUCGUGGGGGAUAACGUAGCGAAAGCUACGCUAAUACCGCAUACGAUCUACGGAUGAAAGCGGGGGAUCGCAAGACCUCGCGCGAUUGGAGCGGCCGAUAUCAGAUUAGGUAGUUGGUGAGGUAAAGGCUCACCAAGCCGACGAUCUGUAGCUGGUCUGAGAGGACGACCAGCCACACUGGGACUGAGACACGGCCCAGACUCCUACGGGAGGCAGCAGUGGGGAAUUUUGGACAAUGGGCGCAAGCCUGAUCCAGCAAUGCCGCGUGCAGGA